rnacentral:rRNA from 1 species
UACAGAGGGUGCAAGCGUUGUUCGGAAUUAUUGGGCGUAAAGCGCGUGUAGGCGGCUUUGCAAGUCGGAUGUGAAAGCCCCUCGGCUCAACCGAGGAAGUGCGUUCGAAAACUGCAGAGCUUGAGUGCCGGAGAGGGUGGCGGAAUUCCCCAAGUAGAGGUGAAAAUUCGUAGAUAUGGGGAGGAACACCGGUGGGCGAAGGGCGGCCACCCUGGACGGUCACUGACGCUGAGACGCGAAAGCGUGGGUAGCAAACAGGGAUU